rnacentral:rRNA from 1 species
UACGUAGGGUGCGAGCGUUAAUCGGAAUUACUGGGCGUAAAGCGUGCGCAGGCGGUUUUGUAAGCCAGAUGUGAAAUCCCCGGGCUCAACCUGGGAAUGGCAUUUGGGACUGCAAGGCUUGAGUGCGGCAGAGGAGACUGGAAUUCCUGGUGUAGCAGUGAAAUGCGUAGAUAUCAGGAGGAACACCGGUGGCGAAGGCGGGUCUCUGGGCCGAAACUGACGCUGAGGCGCGAAAGCGUGGGGAGCAAACAGG